ACGAACGCUGGCGGCGUGCCUAAUACAUGCAAGUCGAACGAGAAUUUCUUACACCGAGUGCUUGCACUCACCGUAAGAAAUUCGAGUGGCGGACGGGUGAGUAACACGUGGGUAACCUGCCCAAAAGAAGGGGAUAACAUUUGGAAACAAAUGCUAAUACCGUAUAACCAUGAUGACCGCAUGGUCAUUAUGUAAAAGGUGGUUCUGCUAUCGCUUUUGGAUGGACCCGCGGCGUAUUAACUAGUUGGUAGGGUAACGGCCUACCAAGGUGAUGAUACGUAGCCGAGUUGAGAGACUGAUCGGCCACAAUGGGACUGAGACACGGCCCAUACUCCUACGGGAGGCAGCAGUAGGGAAUCUUCCACAAUGGGCGCAAGCCUGAUGGAGCAACGCCGCGUGAAUGAAGAAGGUCUUCGGAUCGUAAAAUUCUGUUGUUAGAGAAGAAUAUGAGUAAUAGUAACUGAUUAUUCACUGACGGUAUCUAACCAGCAAGUCACGGCUAACUACGUGCCAGCAGCCGCGGUAAUACGUAGGUGGCAAGCGUUGUCCGGAUUUAUUGGGCGUAAAGGGAACGCAGGCGGUUUUUAAGUCUGAUGUGAAAGCCUUCGGCUUAACCGGAGAUGUGCAUUGGAAACUGGAAGACUUGAGUGCAGAAGAGGAGAGUGGAACUCCAUGUGUAGCGGUGAAAUGCGUAGAUAUAUGGAAGAACACCAGUGGCGAAAGCGGCUCUCUGGUCUGUAACUGACGCUGAGGUUCGAAAGCAUG
rnacentral:rRNA from 1 species